AUGCUUCGCCCUCAACCACAACAACAGCAGCAGCAAGAAGGCGACUACCCGGAGUGCCAAAUCUGCUACAAGUUCCAUGCUGGCGGGGCAAGAGCCUGCUGGCAUCGCUACGACGAUGAUCAUGAAGAAAAGAAGGCAACCAACCUCGUCACCAACAACUAUGGCAUCGACAUCAACUGGUAUGCAGACUCCGGCACCACUGAACAUAUCACAGGGGAGCUCGACAAGCUGGCGAUGCGGGAAAGGUACCACGGCUGUGAUCAGAUACACAUGGCAAGUGGAACUGGACUUGGCAACGAGGAGGGUCAUCCUUAG
rnacentral:rRNA from 1 species